rnacentral:tRNA from 1 species
GGCUUCGUAGCUCAGUUAAUAGAGCGCUUGCAGCGUUGGAGCACGCUGUUUCUGUCGUUGUUUCGAAUCCAGUCGAAGCCC